rnacentral:rRNA from 1 species
AUUGAACGCUGGCGGCGGGCCUAACACAUGCAAGUCGAGCGGAGCUGCGGAAGGGUGAGUAAUGACUAGGAAUCUGCCUGGUAGUGGCGGAUCCCGUCCGGAGACGGGCCCUAAUACCGCAUACUAUCAGAUGAGCUUCGGGCGGAUUAGCUAGUUGGUCGGGCAAAGGCCUACCAAGGCGACGAUCCGUACCUGGUCUGAGAGGAUGAUCAGUCACACUGGAACUGAGACACGGUCCAGAAUCCUACGGGAGGCAGCAGUGGGGAAUAUUGGGCAAUGGGAGAAAGUCUGAUCGAGCAAUGCCGCGUGUGUGAAGAAGGUUUUCGGAUUGUAAAGCACUGUAAGUUGGGAGGCGUUACCAACAGAAUAAGCAACGGCUAACUUCGUGCCAGCAGCCGCGGUAAUAC